AUUGAACGCUGGCGGCAUGCUUUACACAUGCAAGUCGAACGGCAGCGCGGGCUUCGGCCUGGCGGCGAGUGGCGAACGGGUGAGUAAUGCAUCGGAACGUGCCCAGUCGUGGGGGAUAGCCCGGCGAAAGCCGGAUUAAUACCGCAUACGACCUGAGGGUGAAAGCGGGGGACCGAAAGGCCUCGCGCUAUUGGCGCGGCCGAUGUCGGAUUAGCUAGUUGGUGGGGUAAAGGCUUACCAAGGCGACGAUCCGUAGCUGGUCUGAGAGGACGACCAGCCACACUGGGACUGAGACACGGCCCAGACUCCUACGGGAGGCAGCAGUGGGGAAUUUUGGACAAUGGGGGCAACCCUGAUCCAGCCAUGCCGCGUGCGGGAAGAAGGCCUUCGGGUUGUAAACCGCUUUUGUUCGGGAAGAAAUCCUCUGGGCUAAUACCCCGGGGGGAUGACGGUACCGGAAGAAUAAGCACCGGCUAACUACGUG
rnacentral:rRNA from 1 species